rnacentral:misc_RNA from 1 species
CAAUAAGUGUUUAUGGCACUUUAACCAAUCCAUAUCCACCUUGUGUGCAACGUUUGAAUUUGAUCCGCACGCUUGCGUGUGGGGAAAGAUUCUUAAACUCAUUAACUUAUUUUGAACUAGUUUGUCUGAAUUUAACGUAUCAUGAAUUGACUUAAUUCUAAAAUA